GGCAAUGAAAAACAACUCCAAAAGGUUCUUCAAAGAACUUCUUAGGAGGUGGGGUUCAUCGAGGAACCCCCAUUGUUGUAGGAGUUCUUCAGGAAACUUUGCAAACGCUCAUGCGACAACAGUUCAAAAGACACAAUGCAAUUGGGAUCAAGAAGUAGAUCUUCUCAGAAAUUAAUCAAGUCCAUGGAAUGGAUAUAGACAAAAAGAUAAUUCAAGGACUAGCAGAGGUAGAGAGGCGAGGCAGGGGUGAGGACAUCAUCCUGCUAUUUCGACAGUCCCUGAAGGACAAUACAGAAGAGGCACAACAGGGGACUCGAGACCACAGCAGCGAUCCUGCUCUUGCCCUACCUCUUCAAUGAGUACCCGAGUGGCCUUUAUGUCCAUCACAAGGU